UUUAAAUAGCCGCAGUAUUUUGACUGUGCAAAGGUAGCAUAAUAAUUAGUCUUUUAAUUGAGGUCUAGAAUGAAUGGUUGGACAAGAAAAUUACUUUAUUUUAUUUAUUUUUUUUAAUUUAAUUUUUUAGUUAAAAAGCUUAAAUUUUUUUUGGGACGAUAAGACCCUGUAGAUCUUUAUAAUUAUAAAAUUUUUGAUGUUUUUUUUUAUUAUUUAGUUGGGGUGAUUAAGAAAUUUUUUUUACUUUUUUUUGUUGUCAUUUAUUUAUGAAUUUUUGAUCUUUUUUUUUGAUUAUUAGAGUAAGAUACCUCAGGGAUAACAGCGUUAUAUGUUUUGAAAGUUCUUAUUAAUAAACAUGUUUGCGACCUCGAUGUUGGAUUAAAUUAUGGUUUUGGUGUAGGUGAUAAUUGACUAGGUCUGUUCGACCUUUAAAAAUUUACG
rnacentral:rRNA from 1 species